rnacentral:rRNA from 1 species
UACGUAGGGAGCAAGCGUUGUUCGGAUUUACUGGGCGUAAAGGGCGCGUAGGCGGCAAUUCAAGUCAUCUGUGAAAUCUCCGGGCUUAACUCGGAACGGUCAGAUGAUACUGCUUUGCUAGAGUGCAGAAGGGGCAAUCGGAAUUCUUGGUGUAGCGGUGAAAUGCGCAGAUAUCAGGAGGAACACCGGUGGCGAAGGCGGAUCUCUGGGCCAUUACUGACGCUGAGGAGCGAAAGCGUGGGGAGCGAACAGGAUUAGAAACCCCAGUAGU